UCUCUGGCAGUCCAGUGGUUAGGACUUGGUGCUUUCACUGCCAGGGCCCAGGUUCAAUCCCUGGUCAAGGAA
rnacentral:tRNA from 1 species